rnacentral:rRNA from 1 species
UACAGAGGUCCCAAGCGUUGUUCGGAUUCACUGGGCGUAAAGGGUGCGUAGGUGGCACGGUAAGUUUGGUGUGAAAUCUCCGAGCUCAACUCGGAAACGGCACUAAAUACUACCGGGCUGGAGGGUCGGAAGGGAGACUGGAAUUCUCGGUGUAGCGGUGAAAUGCGUAGAGAUCGAGAGGAACACCAGUGGCGAAAGCGAGUCUCUGGACGACUCCUGACACUGAGGCACGAAAGCUAGGGGAG